UCGGCAGAGCAGGCACAGCGGUGCGACGA
rnacentral:piRNA from 1 species